AAUUGUAAAAAAAAACGAAAAUCAAUAUGACUUCGGAAGAUUUUAUAAAUUAUAAAAUAAGAACAUUCUGUGAUUGCAUACACAUGAUAGUCACUAGAUUGCUCAAUAUUACGAAGUGCUUCUUUUUAAUGUUUUUUCUAUGAAAUGUCAGAUGAGUUAUUAUUCAACUAAACACAAUCUUGAUAAACCUGGCAAUUCUCAAGAUGUGGCAGGCAAUGAAAAGCCUCGGAGAAAUCCAAAAGUGAAAAGGUUCUGGAGGGCGAUCACAGAAUUCAACAUUAAGCGAAAAUGUUACCUCUUGUCCUUCAUACAGGCGGUGAGCGGUCUUCGUUCAUCAAUUUUUCGGAUUUCCCAUCAAUAAAUGUUUUCCGUAAUACUUUGCAUAUUACCAAUAAUUGAGCUAUUUUAUUUUAACGAGAACUUUGUUGAACGAAUGGGAAUAUUUCUAGGGACGUUUCUAGUGCCAACAAUGGUGACAGUGAAUACAUUAUUGUAUAUAUUUGACAUAUUUGUCCAAUGGUUGUUGAUUUAUAGCGUGAUGAAGACGAAAUUGCGUGAAAUCCAAAUGGUAAUAGUUUAUUCCUUAUUUGCUCCUAUGAUCGAAGCGGUAAGAGUAAUUAUUUGUGUCAAUUUCGAAUUCAUCAUGGAAAUUGUCAUAUUCAGCAUUGCCUUAAUUUAUAGAUUGCUGAUUUUGUCCACCCUGCAACGUUUUCGGAGGACGCUUUCGACAGGGGUGGGAUCCGUAGAAGAAAACGGUUGAAGAUCUCCGUGAAAAAUUAAA